AACGCACAUUGCGCCUUUUGGUAUUCCGAAAGGCAUACUUGUUCGAGCGCCGUUUCAUAAUUCAAGCUUCUGCUUGGUGUUGACUGUAGUCAAAGACUCGGUCGAAACUCGUUGGCAUUGUCUUUCCAGUCCAUAGCGUGACAGAAAUCUCGCUGUAAACUGGCUAGGCUGUUGCCGGUGUCUGAAACUGAUGGCCUCGGAUCAAGUAAGGUUACCCGCUGAACUUAA
rnacentral:misc_RNA from 1 species